CCAGUGCUGAUUGUCCAAACGCAAUUCUUGUUUGACCUUUGAACCAAGAACUGCGCUGGACAUCAGCAAUUGA
ncrna:Branchiostoma belcheri (Belcher's lancelet) microRNA bbe-mir-219 precursor (bbe-mir-219-1, bbe-mir-219-2)